UACGGAGGGGGCUAGCGUUGUUCGGAAUUACUGGGCGUAAAGCGCACGUAGGCGGCUUUGUAAGUUAGAGGUGAAAGCCCAGGGCUUAACCCUGGAAUUGCCUUUAAGACUGCAUCGCUAGAAUUGUGGAGAGGUAAGUGGAAUUCCGAGUGUAGAGGUGAAAUUCGUAGAUAUUCGGAAGAACACCAGUGGCGAAGGCGACUUACUGGACAAAUAUUGACGCUGAGGUGCGAAAGCGUGGGGAGCAAACAGG
rnacentral:rRNA from 1 species